ACUUUGGUUCGCUGGGCUGCUACUAUUGUUGACAAGAAAGCCGAAGGCCAAGAACAAGUAGUCACCGAAGACAUACAACGUUCAUCUACCUAUUGCCAUGCGUUUACAGUGAAGAACCCCGGGCUAGUUCCUCCACUAAAGGAGCUUCGUAAGUUGAUGAGAAUUCAGGCCCUUCGUUGUCAUGCCAUAUUUAGCCAUGAUGGUACAAAGCUACAUGUCAUUCCUGUACUGGCUUCUCGAUCCCAGGCACUACGGUAUUUAUAUGUCCGGUGGGGCACAGAACUAUCGAGCAUGGUAGUUUUUGUUGG
rnacentral:misc_RNA from 1 species